rnacentral:lncRNA from 1 species
GACCCAACAGGUUAAAAUCGGACAUAUCGAGUGCAUAGAGGAGUUCUGUAUCUAUAAUUCUUAAAAUAAUUGUUAUGCUUUUUGUGAACGUUUAUCGUGAGUAAUUUAGUAAAUUCACCGGCAGUGUUCGGUGGGAAUGCUAGUCACAUGCUAGUCACAUGCUAUUGUAAAAAGCUGUUUUUUGAUAUAAAUAUGAACUUGAUUGAACAAAACAUGCAUGUAUUGUAUAACAUAAUAUCCUAGGGUUAUCAUCUGAUGAAGAUCAUCAAAGGUUAGUGCUACAUUUAGCUGUGGUUUGGGUUUAUGUGACAUUAUAUGCUAGCUUGAAAAAUGGGUGUCUGAUUAUUUCUGGCUGGGUACUCUGCUGACAUAAUCUAAUGUUUUGCUUUCGUUGUAAAGCCUUUUUGAAAUCAGACAGUGUGGUUAGAUUAACGAGAGUCUUAUCUUUAAAAUGGUGUAAAAUAGUCAUAUUUUUGAAAAAUUGAAGGUUAACAUCAGUACAUAGCAUCUCAAUGUAUUACAAAUAGCUUUAUCCUUAUUAAUACAUUUUAUACAACCAUUAUGAUGCAAGUCUCAAACUGAGGCUAUUAUAUAAACAGUUUUAUGGUAAUAUGGCUAUAUUGUCUCUUCUGAGUAUCACAAAAUUGUACCAAGCGGACCAGUUCGUAGCUGGAUUCUUCACCAAUCUUCCAUACCUUCUCCAGAACACACAUGUCGCUCGGUUCUCCAAUUCUAUGAGUUGGAAGAAUUUCCUUUGUCUCUCUAUGAAACAUGUGGUCGGAGAUUCUCCUCUUAGAGUUUUUACAACCCUUUCACACAGGGCCUGGUUUGGGGGGAAGAUAGGUUGGGGGAUGGUACAAAGGGGAGGGGGUCAACUGUCCUUCCUGUACCCAAAGAGGCCAACGUCAUGACACUGGUGUGUUUACGGACAUAUGCAAUCUCUCCUUAUCCCGGUCUAUUGUCCCCACUUGAUCAAGAUGUCCACCAUUGUUCCUGUACCCAAGAAAGCAAAGGUAACUGAACUAAAUUAUUAUUGCCCCAUAGCACUCACUUCUGUCAUCAUGAAGUACAUUGAGAGAGUAGUCAAGGAUCAUAUCAACUCUACCUUUCCUGACACCCUAGACCCACUUCAAUUUGCAUACCGCCCCAAUAGAUCCACUGACAAUAGAAUUGCCAUCGCACCGCACACUGCCCUAUCCCAUCUGGACAAGAUGAAUACUUAUGUAAGAUUGCUGUUCACUGACUACAACUCAACCUUCAACACCAUAGUACCCUCCAAGCUCAUCAUUAAGCUUGGGGUCCUGGGUCUGAACACUGCCCUGUGCAACUGGGUCCUGGACUUCCUGACGGGCCGCCCCCAGGUGAUGAAGGUAGGAAACAACACCUCCACUUUGCUGAUCCUCAACACUGGGGCCCCACAAGGGUGUGCUUAGCCCCCUUCUGUACUCCCUGACCCAACUGUAGUAAACUUGAUUACCAACAAUGACGAGACAGCCUACAUGGAGGAGGUGAGGGCCCUGGCGGAGUGGUGCCAGGAAAAUAACCUCUCUCUCAACGUCAACAAAAUGAAGGAGCUGAUUGUGGACUUCAGGAAACAGAAAAGGCAGCACGCCCCUAUCCACAUCAACGGAACCGCAGUGUAGAAGGAUAAAAGCUUUAUAAUCCUCGGGGUACAUAUCACUGACAAUCUGAAAUGGUCCACCCACACAGACAGUGUGGUGAAGAAGUCAACAAUUUGGCUUGGCCCGUAAGACCCUCACAAAUUUUUACAUAUGAACAAUUGAGAGCAUCCUGUCGGACUGUAUCAUGGCCUGGUAUGGCAACUGCACCGCCCUCAACCGCAGGGCUCUCCAGAGGAUGGUGCGGUCUGCCCAACGCACACUACCGGCCCUCCAGGACACCUAGUGCACCUGAUGUCACAGGAAGGCCAAAUAUAUCUUCAAGGACAACAACCACACGAGCCACGGCCUGUUCACCCCGCUAUCAUCCAGAAGGUGAAGUCAGUACAGGUGCAUCAAAGCUGGGACCGAGAGACUGAAAAACAGCUUCUAUGUCAAGGCCAUCAGACUGUUAAAUAGCCAUCACUAGCCGUCUACCACCCAGUUACUCAACCCUGCACCUUAGAGGCUGCUGCCCCAGGAGUUUUAAAUUAUUGCCACAUGAAUUCCACUGUCACUAAUUUCGAUCAAUCAAGAUUGUGUCCACAGUGUUAUACAGUGUUAUGCAGUGUUAUGCAGUGUUAUAUGGUGUUACACAGUGUUUUAUACGGUGUCAUGCGGUGUUAUACAGUGUUAUGCAGUGUUUUACACGGUGUUAUACAGUGUUAUGCGGUGUUAUAUGGCGUUAUACGGUGUUUUACAGUGUUUUAUACAGUGUUAUACAGUGUUAUACAGCGUUAUACGGUGUAUAACAAAAAGGCGGUAUGGUGUUAUACGGUGUUAUACGGUGUUAUACAGUGUGGUAUAUGGUGUUAUACAGUGUUAUACGGUGUUAUACAGUCUUAUAUGUUGUUGUACAGUGAUAUACGGUGUUGUACGGUGUCAUAUGGUGUUAUACAGUGUGGUAUAUGGUGUUAUACAGUGUUAUACGGUGUUAUACAGUGUGGUAUAUGGUGUUAUACAGUGCGGUAUGGUGUUAUACGGUGUUAUACGGUGUUAUACAGUGUGGUAUAUGGUGUUAUACAGUGUUAUACGGUGUUAUACAGUCUUAUAUGUUGUUGUACAGUGAUAUACGGUGUUGUACGGUGUCAUAUGGUGUUAUACA